CCUUCCCUUCCCUCUCGCGUGGUUGUCCCCUUUCCCCUUCCCCUUUCCUCCUCCCAAAAUUGCCCGCGAAAAUCCUAGCUAACCCUCGCCCCCCGUCUCUGGCGAGCGAAAUGCACGGCGCGCGGGCGCCGAUCGAACGCGCCGGCGGGGUCAAGCGCUCCGGUGAAGCUGGGCGGCGAGGCGCUCUCCUCGGCGCCAAGAGAGGUCGCGCGCGGGAGGCCACCGGGCCCUCGUCUUCGACCGCCUCGAGGGGAUCAACGACAAGCAGGUCUACCUCGAGCGGACUCCCAUCGUCAUCUCGUGGCCAGGGCAUCUCCAGGAGUCGGGAUUUCCAGAUGUUUGGACAGGUGAGAAUUUGUUUUUGUGUUCUUACACGACCCCUGCCAGAGAGACGACCAACUAGGUACAGUACAGGACCCUGGGGGUAAACUAUAAUGAGAGAGUGCUGCCUUCAAUCAUUCAUGAAACACUCAAAGCUGUGGUUGCCCAAUACAAUGCCAGUCAGCUAAUCACACACAGAGGCUGUUAGCAGGGAGAUCAGGAAGAUUCUGACAGGGAGGGCGAAGAAUUUCAAUAUCUCUCUCUGGAUGAUGUGUGCGAUUUUGGUAACGAGUUCGCCCAUGCCAUUGAAGCCAAACAGGUUGCUGCGAAGGAAGCAGAGUGUGCCAAGUUCAUUGUUGAGACGGCUGAGCAAGACAAGAAAAGUGCAUUUAUCAGGGCACAAGGAAGCAAAACUGGAACUAGAUAUGUUUCUUUCACACGAUUUCACCUACUUAUCCUGUUGACGGUUUCAGUUGUAGUUACUAGAGGCAUAUUGUCAGUGUUCUCUAUGUCUUGAUAGCUUCAUCCUAUAUUUCAGUACACUUGUUGAGAUUUGGAGCAUUUGAGCCUAACACUGGUAGCCAUGUGCAUUCCAUUGAUACAUGAUUUCCAUUUGGCUUCACCUAUUUGCGAUGUCCAUAGUUUCAGACUUUCAGUGCCAGUUAGUAGAGGCAUAUUGCUAGUGUUGUUUAUGUCUUCAUAUCUUCAUAUAUGUCACUGCAUUUGCCAUUUGCUGAGUUUAGGAGCACUUGAGCCUGACUCUAGUAAUUUUGUACAAUUCAUAUGAUAGUUGAUUGCUAUCUCCAUAGUUUAGCUUUAGAUUUUCAGUGGAACGUUCGUAUGACUUUACAUAGUUUCAGACAUCCAGUGGUAUGUUCGUAUGACUGAACAUAGUUUCAGACUUCCAGUGGUACGUUCAUAUGACUGAAUAUAGUUUCAGACUUCCAGUGGUAUGUUGGUAUGUUCAUACUACUGACCAUAGUUUCAGAUUAACCAUUUUCUAUGUUCAUAGUGUCACUUCCAGUGGUAGUUAGUAUAGGCAUAUUGCUGAGUUUGGUAGUGUUGUUUAUAUCUAGCUUUGUAUAUUUCCUUACAUUUGCUGAGUUUGGUAGCACUUGAGCCUAACACUGGUUGUCUUGUACAUUUCACUUGUUGAGUUUCAGAUCACCUGAUCCAAACACUGAUAGUUCUUUCUAUAUCUGAAUAGGGAGAGGCCAAGAGUGCAGAGCUCGUCGGUGCUGGUGAAGCUGGGCGGCGUGGCGCUCCCGUCAGCACCAAGAGAGGUCGCGGGAGGCCACCCGACCCUCGUCUUCGACCGCCUCAAGGGGAUCAAUGACAAGGUCUACCCCGAGGAGGCUCACAUCAUCAUCCCGUGGUUCGAGAGGCCGAUCAUCUACGACGUCCGCGCACGACCCAACCUUGAGGAGCCUACCUGGAGCUGCCUCCUGGUGCUAAUCCCAACCUCACCGAACUCGAAGAGAAUCACUUGGAGGAUUCAAGGAAUUGCGAAGCUCUUUUUGGCUUUUGAUAUGGCAGGCCUGAGAUAAGCACAACAAGCUCGGGGUGAAGACAGGCUACUGGUAAUGCUUUUAAGGAGAAAAAAUGUUGAAAUCAGAAAACUCAAAAGAUAGGAAUCUAAUAUUCUGCAUUGCAACUGUGCCUCCUCUAUCAAAUCUAAGUAUUUUUCCAGCACAAACUAAACAUUGUUUUCUCUUCAUAGUUCUAUGUUUAGUGACCUUUCCUGCCAUACUCACAACAGCAAAUGAAAUUGAGCUUGUGCUAAUUUUCCAUGUCAUUGCUGCUGGUGCUUUCCAGGGUUAACCUUAUUAUAUCCGAUUACAAAGGGAGUACUAUUUAGCACCUAAGUAAUGCCUUUACUUUGUGAUCACCUGGAUGGCCGGUUGUUGCCCCAAACUUUGGAUUAAAUACCUCCGGAUCUACACCAAUAUGAUGUCCUUUUGCCUGCUUCAGUUUCUACCUCUAAUCCAUUUGAUUAUAUCGCUAGAUGACUAGUAAGGCGCAGGAAGGAUACCAGUGAGAUGCAUAGAGAACCUAUUCAGCAACAUAAGUCUAAGGAUCUCUGAUGAGUUUCCCUUCACUACCUUUUUUCACUCCCUACUCCAUCUUUGCUCGGUGCAUACCGCAUCCACCUUGUUACUUAUCUCAUAAGAUCCAGUAAAUUUUGCUGUUUAGUUUGCUCCUAAACAAUUUUUUAGUGCCAUCCUUUAAGAACCGAGCAGAUGUAAGUUGUGAUGACACUCUUAUACUCCCUCCGUCCGGAAAUACUUGUCAUCAAAAUGGAUAAACGGGGAUGUAUCUAGACGUAUUUUAAUUUUAAAUACAUCUCUUUUCAUCCAUUUUGAUGACAAGUAUUUCCGGAC